rnacentral:sRNA from 1 species
GAGCGCAGCGAGAAAGCGUUGCCGCAGGCAACGACCCGAAGGGCGAAGCGCGCAGCGCUGAGUAAUCCUUCCCCCACCACCA